CAGGUUUAUUUAAAAAUGGCAGAGUGAGAAAGGAUGACACUAGACAUACCUUGAUGUUUGUUUGGCCUGUGGUGUGAGUGUAAGCCUCUCCUUGAAAAGCACUGUGAACUCAGCCUCUAAAUCUUCUGAGACUCCAGGAUCUGCCUGAGACGCCUGGGCUGAAGGCACUGUGAAAGGACCAGGGGAUCACCAAACACUUCCUAUUGCCAUGCUGAAGGCCUGGGUUCAAGUCCUGCCUUUCCACUUGGCUACAGCCUUCAGUUCUGGCUACCCAUCAGAAAAAAAAAACCAUGCAAACGUAGAAUGGCCCUGGAAACAGGUAAUAAAAUAAUUUGGAGAAUGGCACGAUCUCCACAUGAGAACAGAUGGAAAAGGUGAAGUCUGUAUAUUUAACUGAGGAGAUGAGUUACAGUGUAUAUGAUUUAGAAAAUACUAAUUAAUAAAGUGAAAGCACAUUUGAGUCCUUUGCAGGCUUUCUGAGUACAGUAACAUGGGAGUGCUGAAAGAAAAUGGAGGACAACAAAUGAAAAAAAAAGAUAAAAGGGGUAGUUUUAUCUGUUUCAUACAUUCAUGUUUUAUCCUAUGGAAAUCCUUGUAAUGAGAUGUUUCUGAGGUUAAGAUGUUUAUGGAAUUCAAGACCAGCAGUGACUUACAUGGUCAGUUGCUAUCCUCAGGGUAAUUAACUAUAUGACCACAAACGAUGCCAGGUGGCAAGUGGGGUUUGUAUCCCCUGCUUUCUUGAAAGCCUUGGGAAGUGUUACUAAACAGUGUGUUAGGUGAUACAAGGGCUGCUGUAAGAUUUUCUCUUCUCUUGUUAUUCACAGGAUGUCAAAGAUUUGAGUGGCUAGGACAGGUCCUGGUUCCAUCUUAGCUGUGACAAUGCACAGGAGGUUUGGGUUUUUUGUUUUUUGGGUUUUUUUCCCUACUUUGGGGAGUGCCUCAGUGACAGACAAGGAAAGGAAAGGAGGAACAGUUCGGCAGAUGCUGCCCAUGGCUGUACUUGCCUUUCCAAAGGGGCUGAGAGGCUGCAGUUCUCCAGGGGAAGAUUUGCACCUCUGACAUUUUAUCGCCUUGACAAUUCUCUGUGACUAUCCCAGCAGCAACCUGCCAUACGUAACCAGGGACGCUGGAACAGAAGGGUCAUUGAACUGAGACAAACUGGAGGUGUCCAAACUCCAUAUUUGUACUCUAGAGAAUUUUAGGUACUUUUUACUGACUUUUACUCCAUGCUACAAAGUUCACCGUGGUUCACGGAAAGCCUUCCUGCAUCAUAGGGUAUAGAGUCUUCUUCCAUACCCAUUUCUGGUCUACCAACAGAUGGAAGCAUGUUUCCAGUAUAUGGGGGGAGGAGGGUGUAGAGGAUGAGAAAAGGUACAUGUGUGGAUGCUGCUACCCCUUUUCUUCCAUUCUCAAUACAGGAAUAGAAUUUUUGAUUUUUUUUCUUUUUUUUUUGGCUGAAUUCCCUCAUAACCCUUAUAUGUAACAAUAUCUCCCCCAUCUCAAUUUACAAUGCAGAUUUUUCUGGCACAAACCAGAGGAGUUGGUGGUAGGAGAUGACACUUUGACCUGUUUAUAUCCUGAAGAGGGAUAUAUAGGCUGUAAGUGUUUAGUUUUUAUUCUGGAAAGGCAAGAAUUUUAGAUUUACCUGUAUAUGUUCUGGAAAUGCUUAUGUCGUCCUGUUCAUUCACCUCUGUUUGUAGCAGUGUAGCCAGAACACCAAAGAGUUCACUGUGAGUUACAAAAUUUGUCUAAAGAGCUGGGUAAGUCUCAGUGUUUAUCCCAUAUUCACUCUCACUGCUUGGGGUACAUGGGUUGGUUGUACCAGGUACUGUCAGACUUUUGUACCUGGGAGAUACAGAGAGCCUGUCUUAGGACAUAGGCUGUAACCCAUCUGGAGUGAGAGCUGCUCACCUUCGUUUAUAAAAUGCCUGUCAUAACAGUUCCUGGCCGUGGUCUAUGCCUAAUAACAUAAAUGUUUCAUGAGAGCUUCUAACUCUCCAUUUUUUUUGUCCCUUAUACAUCCUAGUAUUAUUUUAUGUUCUCAGAGUCCUGAGGAAAUGAUGGCACUGAUGCAAUGGCAGGAAUAACGAGGAUUGUUCUGUACAACUGAACACUGCAAACAAAAGGUCCCUGAGAAGUUUUUCAGAAGUCAUCCAAAAUUUAAGAGGCAUUAGAGCUGACACAAACAUCAGGUUUGCGAAGACAGCUGAAAACCCUUUGCACAAAGAACUCAGCACACACAACAAUGGAGUAUUAAGGAUAUUUAAUGUCUACUCUGUGAAGACAAGAUAAAUUUUGCAGAGGGGUACCAUGAAACAGUUGAGGAUACCAUAUGCAGUGCACAGCAAACAAAAGAGUGAACAUCACUUGACCAGCAAGUUAUUGGAUGCAAUGACAAGAUGUAGAAUACUUUUUUUCUUCGGAAACUCCAGGCAGUUGAAGUAAUGUAGACAAAUCAGCUGUACCCCAUAUCUGCUCUUGCUGAAUGCCAGUGUGAGUUUGUACUGCUUGUAAACUUUUGGAUGUGCUAGUCAAUCUAGCCACUGACUCCAUAAGGUUAAUUGAAUGUUUAUGAAACAAAGGAUCCUUCUGCAAAAAGGCUGAGGAAUUCAAGACUGCUGCUACAGUCUGAUAUUCAGAAGUGCACCGUGAAAUAAGCAAAGGGCUUUGAGCUGACAUUUAAAAAAAAAUCUACAAUAUGCAACAUAAAAGAUGUGCUAAAAGAUUCAUAAAACUACAAAGAAACCAUGCCAUAGAGACUAGCUGAAAAAAAAAGGAGAGAAGAAUUAAUCCACCAGCUAAGGCCUUAUUUAGUUUGCUUUAGCAAUGUCUAUAAAGCCUAUUGCUCUGUUGUUCUAAUGAUGUAUGCUAAGACACAGGAGAUAAGAAAAGCCAAGACACUGAAAGCUGUUGUAAAACUAGGCCACUGUUAAAUUAAACAUUUUCUGAAAAACAGAACCUACCUUGAACAAUGCGGAAAACCUCUUUGCUUUUUGCAUGCACUGAGCCAGAAAGGGGCACUUGCUCCCCUUCACCAUGUUCAUGGGGAAAAGCACCAGUUCAGUGAAGUUUUAGCACCCUUCCCUAAGCCGGCACCUCCAUUUAUUCUCAUAAUUAAUGACUACUGAAUAUUCACGAAGUAAGUAUGUACCAUUGGGUAACACUUAGCCGUUGGAUGAACAUUCCUCUUGGUCUGAAGGAAACUAAAAGGAAGGCAGUGGCCCUGCCUCAGGGCUUUAAAAUCACAACAGCCAUGCUGAAGUCUGCGUUUCAGUAUUUUCUUCAAGCAAGAGCAAGGCUUACACCAAAAACGGGGAUGCUACCAGCAGAGUUAGCAUGCCAUAUCUAUUCCUCCUGUUUUUCAGAAAAGCAUAAGAGAACAUGCUGCGCUGUGUCUCUCUUCACCUUGUGAAGAAGCUCUUGAAAAACCCUGGUGACUCCCGCAGCUGAGUCAAGGCUAAAACAGCUAGCACGGGCCCUGUACUCUAUGUACCUCUAGUGUCAGAUCCACUGUAGCCAGUGGCUGAAAGUUGUGCCCUUCAAAGUGGUAAUAAGAUGACCCUUUAGCCACACUGAGGAUAACAAAUCUUCAGAAGAGUGUACCCAAGUGUGGGGGAAGUUUUCUUCUGCUGCAGUCUUCAGUGAGAGAAAGGAUAACUUUAUGAAAUGUAUGUUUUGGUCAUUGGGACCCGUCUCUAUGAUAAAGCAAAACUGACUAAAUUCUUUUCAGCUUAAAUAUUAGUGUAAAGGGAAAUCGAGAUCCGUUGCUUUUGGUUUAAUAAUGUAUCAUUAUUAACAGGUGAAGUUCGAUAUCCAGUGUUGACCACAGUGGUCUCUUCUGGCUUUAAGAUCAUGCCAUUAAGUAUAAUGGAGAGGGGACUGCAAAGCUCCGGCCCCCGGGCCAGAAAAGUGCAUACCAGUCCCACGCUGUUCACUCUUUCUCAGGACUCACUGCAUUUCAGAUGGAAAGUCUUUUCCUGCAAAUAUUUCUGUAUGUGCUUAGUUCUGUAUCAACUAGAGAUUUCCCACUGAUUUAAAUGGCACUACUCCUAAAAUUUCUAACCGUAGUCAUCAAACUACUGGACUCUCCCACCGGGAAAGAGGUUAACCUGAGAAAUAAUCUCAGUGAUGAAGGAAAACUGACUAAAUUGCUUGCAGCAUAAAGUUUGAGGAAAAUGAAAAUAUAGUUUGGUUUCUUUUGGUUUUAAUAAUAUAUCAUUUAUUCUAGUAGUUAAUGCAUAAGAUUUUAAAAUGUUGCUAUGCAAUUUUUAUUUAUAGCAGUUACUUACUUUGAGGGGCCAAAGAAUAGCUGUUACACGAGAGAACCCACAAGACAAAGAUUCAUUCAAUUAUGGUAUAAAAUGUGCAAUAAAACAUGAAAUACUAUCCAAAACUGAAA